GACGAACGCUGGCGGCGUGGAUUAGGCAUGCAAGUCGAACGGUAGGAUACCUUCGGGUAUCUGAGAGUGGCGAACGGGUGAGUAACACGUAGGUGAUCUACCCUCAAGAUUGGGACAACCCAGGGAAACUUGGGCUAAUACCGGAUGAAAGCAGCAGUGAUGUUGUUUGAAAGGUGGCGUAAGCUGCCGUUUGGGGAUGAGCCUGCGCUCUAUUAGUUAGUUGGCGGGGUAAAGGCCCACCAAGGCGAUGAUAGAUAGGCGGCCUUAACGGGUGGUCGCCCACACUGGGGAUUGAGAUACGGCCCAGACUCCUACGGGAGGCAGCAGUCGAGAAUAGUCUACAAUGGCCGAAAGGCUGAUAGUGCGACGCCGCGUGAACGAAGAAGCCCUUCGGGUGUAAGUCUUUAUAUGUGAGCAGUGCUUUCUAUGUGAACAGCAUGGGGAGAGAGAUAUUAGCAUAUGAAUAAGCAACGGCUAACUCCGUGCC
rnacentral:rRNA from 1 species